rfam:Triticum aestivum genome assembly, contig: Triticum_aestivum_CS42_TGACv1_scaffold_557120_7AL
UGUCCACUCCCUUCGUUCCGAAUUACUUGUUUUAGCUUUGUCUAGAUAUGAACGGAUGUAGACACCUUUUAGUGUUUGAUACAUUUGUAUCUAGACAAAUAUAAGAUAAGUAGUUUGGAACGGAGGGAAUAUUUU